rnacentral:rRNA from 1 species
AACGGCCGCGGUAUUCUAACCGUGCAAAGGUAGCGUAAUCACUUGUCCUCUAAAUAGGGACUUGUAUGAACGGCUAAAUGAGGGCCUGCCUGUUUCCUAUGGCCCAUCAAUGAACUUGAUCUCCCAGUACAAAAGCUGGGAUUCACACAUAAGACGAGAAGACCCUGUGGAGCUUAAAGUAACCUACUACUUCAUAUAGUGCGCACUUUUAGUUGGGGCGACUAUGGAACAAAACGAAACUUCCACGCUUCGGACCCUCCCUCCAACAUAGGCACUCCUGCCCCCGUAACUCUUUUCACUUGACCCAGUCUAACUGACUAUCGAACCAAGUUACCCCAGGGAUAACAGCGCCAUCCUCUUCAAGAGCCCAUAUCGCCAAGAGGGUUUACGACCUCGAUGUUGGAUCAGGGCCCCCCAGUGGUGCAGCCGCUACUAACGGUUCGUUUGUUCAACGAUUAAUGCCCUACGU